rnacentral:rRNA from 1 species
CACGUAGGGUGCGAGCGUUGUCCGGAAUCAUUGGGCGUAAAGAGCGUGUAGGCGGCCCGAUAAGUCCGCUGUGAAAGUCCAGGGCUCAACCCUGGAAUGCCGGUGGAUACUGUCGGGCUCGAAUCCGGAAGAGGUGAGUGGAAUUCCUGGUGUAGCGGUGAAAUGCGCAGAUAUCAGGAGGAACACCGGUGGCGAAGGCGGGUCUCUGGGCCGAUACUGACGCUGAGGAGCGAAAGCGUGGGGAGCGAACAGG